UUUAAUGUCUAAAAUCUUUUGCACAAAUUUGCGUAGGACUCUUGUAAAAUAUUUUACACAUUAUUACUUUUAUUUUACAUAGAUUUGCUUGAACAAAACUGCAUUUGGAUGAACUUCACUCGCAUUGAGAAAUCUUUGUGAAUGUGACGCAAAUGUAGGAAUAGUUUUGACAGUGUUUGUUUUGGUUUUAUUUUUCGGUGGGUGGUGAAUUGGGUGGUAAGUAUGCGGCUGAAAGCACGUGGUUUCUCAAACUGUCAACUGCACGCGACUGCACUGUGGCAAUCGGUUGCCUAGGUGUCACUAGUGAAAAUUUACAUAGAAAAUUUGAAUAAAUUUGUUCGAGCUAGAACGUCUGUCUGCGAUAUAGCGAUGGUCAGAUAAAGAUUCUUCAUCUGACACAUGCCAAUUGGUCAGCUCGUGACUAAUUCUGCUAGAGCAAAGCGUUAUAUCUAACACUUCCUCUCUAGCAGAUACCAUGAAGGUUGGGCGGUUGCCUAUGUUAAGUAAUGCAAGAUCUGUACUACUUAAGUACUCCAUCAAACUGGAGCCUCUCAAGUUAAUGUCUGAGCUGCCCCAGAUGAUAUGGUGAGCAUUAGCAUCACUGCCAACAAUUAGCGGAAGGCCUUUUGAAGUGCAGUAUGCGAUGACUUGUUUGAAAGCAUCCGUAGGGGAUGGUUCAUCAUGUGGUAAAUACACAGAACAAUAGACGUAUUUCCUGUUGAGGUUUCCAACAGAUACAUCAAUUGUGAUAGCACAUACAUCUCUGGUGGUUAGUUCAGAGAUGAGUGUAGCAACUAUUGCGUUGUUGACAAGCACACAGGCUCGAGGCAUGACACGCGAGUUUGCCAUUUCAUGUUUACUGAAAGUGGCAAACACCGGGUUCACAAGGUUUCCUAGAUAGAAAUUUCCCUUACGAAAGUAAGGUUCUUGUACCAAGGCCACUUGGGCUGUACCAUUUUGCAUAAGUCUGCAAAGAUUGAUAGUUGCUGUUCUUUUAUGCUGAAGAUUGAUCUGAGCUAUCCUAACCGUAGCCACUACCCAAACUAGGUAAGAUUAAACUCUUCGCAACAGCAGCACAGCAAAGAACAGCAACAAUAAAACCAAAUCGGUAUCGAUUGGAAAACGCCAAAGGCGAGGAUACACAGAAUACACUGUGUAAAUCGCAUAAUGCGAAACCAUAUAGGUGAAAAUUUAAACUAAUUAACAACAUCUUCAUAAUCCCGCCUUUAUUUAGCCUCAAGUGAGACUAAAGAAGGGCAGCUGAUUGUCUCGGAGAAACACAAGGUCCACUGCACCAUUGCUCCGGUUAGCGCAGUAAGGGCUACAUACUGUGGAGGGCGCCCUGGUACUCCACAGGCUCCGUUAGCGGUUAGGUUUUUAUUAGACCCCCCUAGCCAUUCAUUCCUAGGCACGGUAAGCAUAAAGCCGCAUCACACCAUGAAUUAGGGGUCACCUGUUGGUGGAUUCUUACCACCGGAACAGGCGGUCCGUAGUGUUAUUCUUAGCCAAUUGAGACAAUCGCUACCGACACUACACAGCUAUCUAGGCUGAU